UCCAACACUUGGAUACAGGUGUUUGUAAAAUCUUAAAAUAGAUAUAAGGCCUCCUAGUUUCAUUGUUGGGGAACAUGACUCUUGGAAUACAGAUAAUUUCUUUGAUGUCCUGCUCCCGGUUCUUGUGGUCGUAGUUUGAUGCAGCUCUCCUCACAGUUCAUGGGAUGACCAGGGCCAUUGAUCUGGUGGUCCAGUAUGUGGAUGUGCCAUGUACAGCAAAGCAAGGAAUUGGACUGUGGUGUCCCUCAAUCAGCCGCCUGCAAAAAGGAAUGGCCAGAGACCGUCUGUGUUCAACCCCGCAGAACUCAUGACUGUAUGGACACUAUUGUCUGAUUGCAACGUUCGGCCUAUGGUUCAUCCAAUUGGUGGCCCACCACAUGAUGGGCCUUCACCUUGUGGUAAAUUACCACGUGUACUGUAAGGAGGGACUGUUGGAUGGAACUUAAAUUGCCUCUAGCUUUCUUGUUUUCUGUCUGUUUUUUACUUUUUCCUUCUGUUUUAGGCCUCUAUCUUUGCUUUUUGAUAAUACUCAUCUUUCAAAAUAAAAAUAAAAAUAAAUUGGGUUCCUUGUCAAGUCAAACUUACAUAUUUUGUGAUUUAGUUCAUUGCAUGGAUUUAAGUAGUGGGCUGCUGAAACCAGUACAAGUCACUCUGUAUCAUCGGUCCAAUGCAAGGAUCUUCAUUGUAUCAUGAUGUAAAGUUCAAACAAAACUGUUAUAUGAGGAAUUUUAUUGUAUCAUGAUUUUACAUGGUAUUGGUGCAUGUUUUUCUAGGCGAAUCAUGUUCCCUGUUCUGUGCAGCAAGUAUGUGAUUUCUACUACCUUUCCAAAAAAAACAAAAAAAAAAAAAAAAAAAGAAAGAAAGAAAGAAAAAAAAAACUACUGAAUCAUGAGAUCAUUGAUUUUCUUCAAUGUUAAUGUUGGUCGGAAUGUUUUUAGUUUGGGACCUUGGAUUGUAAUAUAUCUAUCUACUUUAUCAUCAAAGUUUCAGGAUCCAUGGAUUAUUCUGCAGUUCACAUGGCUUGUGUCUGGCAAGGAUUUUCUUUUUUAUGAAACAAAACACAAUACUGGAUCACGACUUUCGAAGUUGAAUCGUGUUUCCUGUUCUGUGCAGUGAGCACAUGAUUCCAACUGAAUCAUGAGAUCAUUGAUAUUCUUCAAUGCUAAUAUUGGUUGGAUAGUUUUUAGGUUGGGACCUUUUGUUGCAUUUGAAGGAUACCUUGGAGAUAGUAUAACAAAUGUGUUCCGGCAUAUGCCCAUUCACUUCACUUCACCUUUAUUUACUAGUUUCCCAUUUCUAAUCUAAUGAUGGUCAGUCUGUUAGAGCAUCACAUUUCUUAAUAGGUUCUUGUUAAUCUUCAUUGGUUGCCUGCUUGUAUUCUUCCUUACACUUUAGAAGUGUCCUUCAGCUUCUACCCAAUUCACACCUCAAAAUGUACUUUCAUUUAUUAUUUAUUUUUAAAUCUCAACAGCAAGCAAUAGCUCUGUUAAAAGAUCAUGAGUCACUGGUGUCAACUUACCAUAGAAGAAAAUUGCAAUUUGAAGGGAGAGACCUAGGUAAAUUAAAAGAACCUUAUUCAUUAACACCUACCAUUAGUCGGCUGUAUUUGUAUUCAUUGCCCCCCAGUGAAUUAUUUGCUUAAUUUUCAAAUGACACAGCUUAAAGUGAUGAAAGGGUGGUGUUGCUUUAGAUGUUUUUUUUUUUUUUUUGUUAAUGUGAAAAUGAUACACUUACAAGUCCAGUAGUAGCUCGAACUUUGAAAGUAUUCAUGACCUCAACAUUACCUUUUCAGGAGCGUUUUCCAGAAGCAGCGCGAUUACACAUUUUCAGGGUUCUCCUGAGUCAGCAGUAGAAAUGAGGAGAGGUUUGAUUUCGGUUGAGUAUUACAAGAAUGCCUCCACAGGUAACACUUGUAGCCCUGGUUCUGGAUCUCCCACCUUAAAAAGCAUCUUGUCACUGCCAGCUAUGUUAGUGAUACCAUGUC